CAAAACAAGCGGUGAGUGCUUUGGGGUGGGGUGACUGCGUACCUUUUGUAUAAUGGGUCAGCGACUUAUAUUCUGUAGCAAGGUUAACCGUAUAGGGGAGCCGAAGGGAAACCGAGUCUUAACUGGGCGUUAAGUUGCAGGGUAUAGACCCGAAACCCGGUGAUCUAGCCAUGGGCAGGUUGAAGGUUGGGUAACACUAACUGGAGGACCGAACCGACUAAUGUUGAAAAAUUAGCGGAUGACUUGUGGCUGGGGGUGAAAGGCCAAUCAAACCGGGAGAUAGCUGGUUCUCCCCGAAAGCUAUUUAGGUAGCGCCUCGUGAACUCAUCUUCGGGGGUAGAGCACUGUUUCGGCUAGGGGGUCAUCCCGACUUACCAACCCGAUGCAAACUGCGAAUACCGAAGAAUGUUAUCACGGGAGACACACGGCGGGUGCUAACGUCCGUCGUGAAGAGGGAAACAACCCAGACCGCCAGCUAAGGUCCCAAAGUCACAGUUAAGUGGGAAACGAUGUGGGAAGGCUCAGACAGCCAGGAUGUUGGCUUAGAAGCAGCCAUCAUUUAAAGAAAGCGUAAUAGCUCACUGGUCGAGUCGGCCUGCGCGGAAGAUGUAACGGGGCUAAACUGUGCACCGAAGCUGCGGCAGCGACGCUUAUGCGUUGUUGGGUAGGGGAGCGUUCUGUAAGCCUGCGAAGGUGUCCUGUGAGGGAUGCUGGAGGUAUCAGAAGUGCGAAUGCUGACAUAAGUAACGAUAA
rnacentral:rRNA from 2 species